AUAAUGACUCUCGGCAACGGAUAUCUCGGCUCUCGCAUCGAUGAAGAACGUAGCGAAAUGCGAUACUUGGUGUGAAUUGCAGAAUCCCGUGAACCAUCGAGUCUUUGAACGCAAGUUGCGCCCAAAGCCAUUAGGCAGAGGGCACGUCUGCCUGGGUGUCACAC
rnacentral:rRNA from 1 species